rnacentral:rRNA from 1 species
AUUGAACGCUGGCGGCAGGCCUAACACAUGCAAGUCGAGCGAGCGGCGGACGGGUGAGUAAUGCAUGGGAAACACCCAGCUGGAGGGGGAUAACUACGGGAAACGGUAGCGAAUACCGCAUACCAUCAAACUUGCCAAGAUGGGAUUAGCUGGUAGGUGGGGUAACGGCUAACCUAGGCGACGAACCCUAGCUGGUCUGAGAGGAUGACCAGCCACACUGGAACUGAGACACGGUCCAGACUCCUACGGGAGGCAGCAGUGGGGAAUAUUGCACAAUGGGCGCAAGCCUGAUGCAGCCAUGCCGCGUGUAUGAAGAAGGCCUUCGGGUUGUAAAGUACUUUCAGCGGGGAGGCGUUACCCGCAGAAGAAGCACCGGCUAACUCCGUGCCAGCAGCCGCGGUAAUUC